rnacentral:rRNA from 1 species
ACUGGUUGGGUUGCCACUCCACUCGAAGUCCAGCAUUGAGUAUGGUAUCCUGGAUUUGGCCCAGAGAGGGUGAAAGGCCCGUGCGAGUGGAUGUUACAGACAUGUAAGGCAGCUCAUCAGGUCGACCUUCGAGUCGGGUUGUUUGAGAAUGCAGCCCUAAGCGGGUGGUAGACUCCAUCCAAGGCUAAAUACGUACACGAGUCCGAUAGUAAACAAGUACCGUGAGGGAAAGUUGAAAAGUACUCUGAAGAGAGAGUAAAUAGCACGUGAAGCCGUAUAGAGGUAAACGGGUGGCGUCAAGCUGCAAGCCUUGAGGAUUCAAUUGGCCUUUGUUGUGCGUUGUUUUGUGCGUGUAUCAGUCAGUGAUAGCUUGGGUAGUCCACUGGAAACGGUGGGCCUGGCCGCAAGGUCGGGAUGUACGAUUGGCACUGGUUCGCCAGUACGCUACCCGUCUGUCGGACUGGAUGGCCAAUGCAUUUCCUCUAUGGUGAACACCACGACCGGUGGUACUGCCAGUCUGGCUUGGUCAAGUUGUAGUCAGUUAGGCCUCGUGUCGGCUGGCUGCAAUCACACGCAAACUCGGUGGACGGCGAGUUGACCCUCGGGUUGAUUCGUGUUAUCGGCCACCGGUUGUGAACGGGCGUGCUCGUCGAUGGAUGCAGUCCUCGGCGGGUGGCCUGGUGGACCUUGCUGGUAUGUAUAACUGUGCAGGGCACCGGAGUUGUCGGUCUCAAUUUGCCAUUUGAUAUGCACACUGCAUGUGUGGUUGGGGCGUCAUCGCAGCCUGUCGGUGGUUAGGCGUGGCCGUCGUGUUGCCUGCGAAAAGUAGGCCCGGCGGUGGUCUGGCCCCGGUCGGUGUUGUUGGUGGCGUUCCCGUGUGCCAUUUGGUGUGGACCUGAUAGUCUGUGGUGUAGUGGUAGACCAGCCACCCGACCCGUCUUGAAACACGGACCAAGGAGUUUAACAUGCACGCGAGUCAAUGGGCACUUACGAAACCCAACGGCGCAAUGAAAGUGAAGCCUCGGCUUGUUCCCGGGGUGAGGUGAGAUCCUGCUGUUACUCGCAUCUGCACUUUUGUGUGUCGUGCGUUGGACACAAAGCGCAAA